ensembl:snRNA U6 U6 spliceosomal RNA
AUGCUCACUUUAGCAGUACCUGCACUAAAAUUGGAAUGAUACAGAGAAGGUUAGCAUGGCCUCUGUGCAAAAAAAUGACACACAAAUUCAUGAAGCGUUCCAGAGGGAG